GAAUAGAAGAUGGAGUUUGGCUUCCAUAGGAGUCCAGACGAAGUCUACCUGCAGUUGAAGUCGUGGGCGGAGUCCGGCUCCCGUAGGAGUCCGGACGAAGUCUGUCUGCAGCCGUUGGAGUCGAGGAUGAAGCCCGGCUCCCGUAGGAGUCCGGACGAAGUCUUCCUGCAAUCAAAGUUAAAGGCGAAGUCCGGCUCCCGUAGGAGUCCGGACGAAUCUU
rnacentral:lncRNA from 1 species